GACGAACGCUGGCGGCGUGCUUAACACAUGCAAGUCGAACGGAAAGGCCCUGCUUUUGUGGGGUGCUCGAGUGGCGAACGGGUGAGUAACACGUGAGUAGCCUGCCCUUGACUUUGGGAUAACGUCAGUAAACUGUGGCUAGUACCGGAUAGGAGCUCCUGCGGCAUGGUGGGGGUUGGAAAGUUUCGGCGGUUGGGGAUGGACUCUCGGCUUAUCAGCUUGUUGGUGGGGUAGUGGCUUACCAAGGCUUUGACGGGUAGCAGGCCUGAGAGGGUGACCGGCAACAAUGGGACUGAGAUACGGCCGAGAAUCCUACGGGAGGAAGCAGUGGGGAAUAUUGCACAAUGGGCGGAAGAAGGAUGAAGCAACAACGCGUGCGGGAUGACGGACUUCGGGUUGUAAACCGCUUUCGCCUGUGAAGAAGCGGGAGUGACGGUAAUGGGUAAAGAAGCACCGGCUAACUACGUG
rnacentral:rRNA from 1 species